GUCCCUGUAGCGCAAUAGAUAGCAAGUUGUACGUCUAAUUCAAAGGAUGUGGGCUUGAAUCCCACCUGGGAUG